UCUUCCUUGCGGUGCACGGGCUUCUCAUUGCAGUGGCUUCUCUUGUUGUGGAGCACGGGCUCUAGGCGCAUGGGCCUCAGUAGUUGUGGCUCGCGGGCUCUAGAGCGCAGGCUCAGUAGUUGUGGCGCACGGGCUUAGUUGCUCUGUGGCAUGUGGGAUCUUCCCAGGCCAGGGCUUGAACCCGUGUCCCCCGCAUUGGCAGGAGGAUUCUUAACCACUGCGCCACCAGGGAAGCCCUCAGUCCUUAUAUUUCUUUAAGCGUACUUCUGAACUUUCUAUUGUGUACAUUCUGGCACUGGUACCACAUAGUUUGAUCAUCUCAGAUUUAGACUAAAUGUCGCCAUUAAUUAAACGUCUUCAAAAAUGUCCUAGUACUUUUUGUAUAUUGACAGUUCCAAAAGAAAUUCGGAAUCAUUUUGUAGCAUUUAGAAGAGUUGGAAAUUGGAUUGUGUAAAAUUUAUAGGUAACUAUAGAGACAAUUAACAUCUUCAUAAUAUUUAACCUUUCAUUUCAGUAAAUUUAUAAAGUAUUAUGUUCCUUAGUAUAUUUUCUCUAGUACAGGUAAUUUUUUGUAGUUGUGGUUACUGUGGUAAAUGAGCUCUUUUGUCCAUUAUAUUUUCCAACUGCUUAUUGUUAGUAUAAAGGUACAUGACUACUUUUUUUUUAAUGAAAAUUAAAUCCAUUGAUUUUUUAAAUUUAAAAUAUUAAACAAAAGCUGUGUAAAUGGUAGCAUUAUGAAAAAACAUAAUAUGGAAACUGAAAGUCCCCCAUAAUUAAAAUCCCUCUGCCCCCAAGAUAAACAGUCAACAGUUGACACAUAGUCCUCAAAUCUUCUUUUCCUAAAGUAUGUUUUAUCAUUUUGACCAUAUGAUAGAACCCUUCUGCUGCUUGUAUUUUUCACUUGGCAAUAGAUCUUGGACAUUUCCUGUUGGUACCAUAUCAAUCUACCUCAUUCUUCUUAACUCUGCAUAGAGAGUUCUGUGGUGGUUUACUAGUUUGUUUAACUUGGCAAUUGGUUAUUUGUUUAUUUUGUAGCUAGCCAAUUACUGAAGUUCCUUUCGUUUUAAUAGUUUUGUUGUUGUUAUUGUUAAUUCUUUUGCCUUUUUCAUGUAGUUAAUAGUUCUGAGUAGUGAUGAUAACUUUACCUCCAUAUUUUUAAUAAUCUUAUUUCACUUCCUUAUCACACUGACCAGCACUUUUUGAACAAUGGUAAAUAACACCUAUAUAAGUUGUGCCGGUAUUGUACAUUCUUCUUUAUAUAUAUUUUUUACUUGGUGAGAAUACCUCUAGUGUUCCUCCAAAAGUACAAAUUUGACUCUUAGUAUGAGAUAUUCUUAAUAUUUGAAUUUAUAUAUUAAAGUUAUGCCCUCCUCUUUCUAGUUUGCUGAAAGUUUUAUCAGUAAUGGUUGUUGGAAUUUUAUUAAAUGCCUUUUUUUUUCACAUCUGUCAAGAUGGUCAAAUGGUUUUUCUUUUUUUUUUUUGCGGUACGCGGGCCUGUGGGAUCUUCCCGGAUUGGGGCACGAACCCGUGUCCCCUGCAUCGGCAGGCGGACUCUCAACCACUGCGCCAUCAGGGAAGCCCAGUUUUUCUUUAUCAUAACUUAAUAUGAAUCAUUUAAAUAGAUUUGCUAAUGUCAGACCCUGUCUGCAUUUCUAGAAAAAUCUGAUUUAGUCAUGGUAUAUUAUUCUUUCAAUAUAUGUCUCCACUCAAUGUUAACAGUGGUUAUUUAUGAUGGGUUGGUUUAUGGUAGACUUUUAUUUUUUGUUCUUAUCUGUAUUUUCUGAUUUUUCUACAUGGCUCUCAUAUUACUUGUAUAAUAAUAGUAAGAGCUUUAAAAUAAGAAAAUUACUCUGGAUUUGGUUUGCUCUUAUUAUUUUGGAAUUUUUCAAAAUUUUAGGUGGAUAGUUAUAUAAUUUUUUUUUCUGCUGUCUUUAUCAGGUAUUGGUGUUGGGUUUGUGUUAACUUCUUUAAAAAAAAAAAAAAGAACUUGGGAAGCUCUAUCUCUUUUUUUCUAUGCCCUUGAACAGUUUAAAUAAUAUUUAGAAUUUUUUGCUCCUUGAAGUUUUUAUAACAUGUAUAAAUCUGUCUAAGUCUAGUGCCUUUUUAGGAAAUAAUUCUUUGACAAUUUUUUCAAUGUUUUUCCAUGCUCAUUAGUCUCUUUAAACUUUCUUCCUUUUCUGUAAGUUUUUGGCAACUUAAACUUCCAAAGUAAUGAUUCUGUUAAGAUUUUCAAAUUUGCUAGCCUGGAGCUGUCGUAUUUUCUUUUCUUAUUCAUAACGUUCUGUGUCUGUGCUUUCCCUUUUUAUUCUGGGACUUCAAAUCUUAAUUUACUGUUUUACCAUUUUAUGAUUUUUUUUGGUUUGUUUUUGUUCUUAUUAAUUUCCUUCCUUUAUUUUAUUAUUUUUUCACCUUCUCAAGUUGAAUGCCAUUUUAGCUCUUUCCUGUUUAAUAGUAGAUAUAGUUACUAGCGCUCAUAAGGCUACAUGACUUUUCUUCUGAAUAUUUCUUUAUCCAUUUCUGUUAAAUUUUUAGCUAUGGUGUUCUAAGUUAUAAAUAACUUGUAAUUUCAUAUUUGACUUUUUUUUUUACUUGAGUUAUUUGAAAUUAACUUUUACAUUUCUAGAUAGUUUGAUACUUUUUGUUGUUGUUAUUAACAUUUGUUACAAGUGUUGUCAAAGAGGGUAUGGCCUGUACAAUUUCUGCAUUUUGGAUUUUAUUGAUGUUUUCUUGGGACUUAAUAAAUUGUUAAUUUUAAUCAAUAUUCCCAGGAAACUGGAAAAGAAGAUAUAUUCUUGGAAGGGAACAAAAUUAAAUCUGUAUGUAUUAAUUUGACCUUAUUAAUUAUAAGCUUAUGGACCUUUAAUUUUUGCUUACCUGAUUUGUUAAAGACUAAGGAAAGUGUGUUCAGACUACUAUUGUAUUUCUGUCUAUUUCUCUUGUGUUUCUAACAGUUCUUGCUUUAUGUGUUUCCGUAUGACGUUAUUUGGCAAAUUAUCUUUUUAUACUUAAGGGAAAAAAUAUUUUCCUUUAAAGACUUGUCUACCUUUGUGGAUUUUACCUGAUUUUGUUGUAACAGAGUUGUUUAUGUAGAAAUACAUAGUUCAGUAAAAUGUUUGUGUCUGUUUUUAAGUCAACAAAAAUCUUUCAGAAGCCCUUUGUGUCUUAAGAUAUUUUGGAAACUCUGGAUCUCCCCAAGGGUAGGUUGAUGUUCUCUAGGGUGACUUCCUGAGUCAAAGCAAGGAAGGCAGUGUGGGUUAAGGCACGUAAGCCUUUGGAACAGAAUUAGGGUUUGGGGUGGUUUGCCAACAUUUCCAGUGUCUGCUUCAGGGCAGCCCCGUGCUUGGUAUGGUUAGGGGUCACCUGCCCUCCAGCUGGUCACCUUCUGCCUCGAUGGGGUCAAUAUUGAAGCUUUUCUUAACCCAAGAGGCACUUUUCUUCUGCAGGGCUGGCCUUCUGAGCAGAAGGCAGCAGAGGGUAUAUGCUUAUGUUCCUGGCUGUUGGGGGAAAAGCGAAUCUCGGAGACCCAUUCUACCGGAAAAGAUUUUUCCAGAGCUAUUCAAGCAGAUUAUUCACAUGGCAAAGUCUGUGCCCGGCAGCGAACCAACUUUUCCCCAACACGUGGAGGAGGUGUGAAUCUCAACUCACAGCUCAGGAGUGAAAGAUAUACCACCUUCUCUGUUUUCCCUUCAUUCAAGUAAGUUUCUGUUUUGGGCCCUCGUUCUACCAGGCUCAUGCAGUUGGAUCUCAGUCAAUCCCAGGACUCCCUUUUCUCCAGACGUGAGUUUUCAAAGGCUGAGGGCUUGCAUAUUCCCAGGGUGGUGGGGGUCAGGGGGUCUAUGUCUGUUGAGAUGUCCCCUGUUCCUGCCCUCUCACUCCACUACCGCUGUGUCACAAGAAUUCCUCACAGGUUCCUGUGCUGCAGAAAUCUCCAUGAGGCUGUCCGAGGCCCUCUCUCCACGCAGCCAUCCCAUGUCUGGCAGCAAAGGUUUCGGGUGGAGGGUGAUUUAACUUAGAGGGACUGCUAGAUGAACCAGUGCGUGUUUGCACAAGAGAGCACGCUAGUGAGCGGAAGUGAUUCUGUGGGCACCCAUGCCCGCUUGCUUUGCAGGCCCUUGCACCUCACUUGCAGGGGGCGGGGAGGGGCUCCGGCCCAGAUCCCCACAUCAACCACCUCCCAGAGGGGCCUCCUUACACCAAUCGGGUCCUAGGCUUCCCUUCUCCAGGGCGCUUGGGAAAGUUGACCUCGCUCUUUUGCAGUAAUCGUCCCGUGAAUGAAGCUUUCCUUCCCAAUUCUUGUCUUGCUCCUGACUACUCCUUUUCCUUCCCCUCCUCCUCCUGCCCUGUAGUGUCGGGGUCUCCAAGGAUCCGGCCUGGGCCACCUUCCUGUGACAUUCUCCCCUGGCAGUUCCAAGGCUUCCCCACUCCGCCUUGUCCCAGCCUCCUGGAGUCAGUUUCCCUCUGUCCAGUGCUGCCCCCUAUCCACCUCCUGAUCCCUGACCGUGGCAUCUCCCCCCUCCAGGUGUUGGCACCAUCUGUGUCCUUGCCCUUGCUACCUGCACAAUGAGUCACCAUAUUAUGCUUCUUCCUCUGGUUAUCCCAGUCUCUUCACUCCAUCACUGCUUCUCUCACCAGACAGUCCCUAUCCUGUUCCUGAUCCCCUCACUCCAGGAUCUCCUCCAUCGUCUGGUGCCUUUUAGGUAAAGCUGCCAGAGGCCUCUUCCUAAAGCUUGAGUCAUCAGGUUCUAGCCCCCUCUCUCCAUCCUCCCCCCAUGAGGUCACACUAACCACCUUCCCUGGUCCUGCCCAGGCCUUGCUGGUGCAUCCUCUCUGUGCUCUAGUUCUUGCUCUUCCCGCUGCCGGGAAUCCUUUCCCGUUUCCAACCCCAUUUCUCUUCUUAGACCCAGCUCAAAGGCCUAGGCCCUCCAGAUUAAAAUCAGCCACUCCAUGGGGACUUCUCAUGCUUCUUAGAGAGCUCUUUUCACACUUACAGCUUUUUUUUUUUUAACAUCUUUAUUGGAGUAUAAUUGCUUUAUAAUGGUAUGUUAGUUUCUGCUUUAUAACAAAGUGAAUCAGCUAUACAUAUACAUAUGUCCCCGUAUCUCCUUCCUCUUGCAUCUCCCUCCCACCCUCCCUACGCACGUACAGCUCUUAAAUCAUUAAUUCGUGUAUUCAUUUAACAAAUAUUUCUUGAGCACCUUUAUGCCCCAGGCCCUGGGAACACAAAGGUGAAAAGACACACAUAUUUUCCACAAAUCUAUUGCAUUCCAGUGGAACCGUGAGGUGAUACAUUGCAGGUGCAAAUGGAACUCAGCUGAUGGGAGGAUUUGUGAGACUUCCCCUCAAGCAGGGCUCUCACAGGUGUUCAAGAACAGGAGUCAGGGUACAUCCUGCUUCUCCAGAGCUGGGGUGACCCUGGGCCACUCUGAAGACUUUGUGAGACAUCCAGCUCCAAGGCUUUUCGUCUUGGAAGGAACCUGCAAUGACUCUAAGUAUGCCUGCCUCACUCUUCCCUUUCACAGCCCCCUCAUUUCCUGUCUGACUUGUAUAUAUUCGUGUUUUUCUAAGGAUGGUCUGCAGACCAGCUGCUUCAGAGCUAUCUUGGGUUUCCCAGAAAAACCUCCUGGAUUAGCAUUUUUGCAGGCCAGGCCUUGCAGUAUGCAUUCUAGAAGCUCCUUGUGCUAGACAACAAGAUGAUGGCUCCCCAAGAGGUCCACAUCCUAAUCCCCAGAACCUAUGAAUGUGUUACCUUACCUGCGAGAAGGGACCUUGCAGAUGGACCUUCAGAUGGGGAGAGUUUCCUGGAUUAUCUGGGGGGGGGGCCCAAUCUAAUCACAUGAGUUCUUAAAAGCAGAGGACCUUUCCUGGCUGGGGUCAGAAAGAGAUGGUGAUGGAAGAAGAGUCAAAGAGAUACCAUGUUGCUGGCUUUGAAGAUCAAUGAAGGGGCCACAAGUCAAGGAAUGCAGGCAGCCUCUAGAAACUGGAAAAGCUUCUAGCUUCUCCCCUAGAGCUUCAAAAAGGAACACAGCCUUGUUGACACCUUGAUACUAGCCCCGUGAGACCCAUGUAGGACUUCGGACCUAUGGAACGCAGUGCUCACCGUGCGCUCUUAGAUGCGUGAAAGGCACCACGUCUCUCCUUCCUUCUCUGACUUUAAGAGCUGCAGCGUUAAAUAAAGCUGCAACGUCACACACCCAGCCCUGCUGAUCUUUCGGGGUGUUAUGUGGCCAGUCUACCAGCACCCCAUGCACAUCCUUUUCCAGAACGAGCCUUGGGCCUUGGCGAAGAGGCUAACGGUCCCACUCGCCGGGGUUCUGCUCAUCACGAUCGUCGUCCUCCGAGUCAGCAGAUACUCUCUUAAUUCUCUGGAGCGCCGCCUUGAUGCUUCUCUCCAGGUCGCUGGAGUAAUAAGACAAAGUUUCACCAUCGAGGGCAUUUUAUUAUUCUUUCCAGUGAACUGAGGCAGUGUGUGUGAGCUGAUCAGGGCUUCCUACACCGUGGGCUACACCAGGCCGGCAACAGGGCUCCCCCCGACAAAGCCCUGCCACGUCCCAUCUCUCGUCUAG